CACGUAGGGGGCGAGCGUUAUUCGGAAUUAUUGGGCGUAAAGGGCGCGUAGGCGGCUAGACAAGUCAGGGGUGAAAUCCCUCGGCUCAACCGAGGAACUGCCUUUGAAACUGUCUGGCUUGAGGCCGGGAGAGGGUGGUGGAAUUCCCAGUGUAGCGGUGAAAUGCGUAGAUAUUGGGAGGAACACCAGUGGCGAAGGCGGCCACCGGGACCGGUUCUGACGCUGAGGCGCGAAAGUGUGGGGAGCAAACAGG
rnacentral:rRNA from 1 species